rnacentral:rRNA from 1 species
AUACGUAGGGGGCGAGCGUUGUCCGGAAUGAUUGGGCGUAAAGGGCGCGUAGGCGGCGCGGUAAGUCUGGAGUGAAAGUCCUGCUUUCAAGGUGGGAAUUGCCUUGGAUACUGCCGCGCUUGAGUGCAGGAGAGGUUAUCGGAAUUCCCGGUGUAGCGGUGAAAUGCGUAGAGAUCGGGAGGAACACCAGUGGCGAAGGCGAGUAACUGGACUGCAACUGACGCUGAGGCGCGAAAGUGUGGGGAGCAAACAGGAUUAGAUACCCUGGUAGUCCACACUAUAAACGAUGAAUGCUAGGUGUAAGAGGUAUCGACCCCUUUUGUGCCGGAGUCAACACAAUAAGCAUUCCGCCUGGGGAGUACGGCCGCAAGGUUGAAACUCAAAUGAAUUGACGGGG